rnacentral:rRNA from 1 species
CCUACGGGUGACAGCAGUGGGGAAUAUUGCACAAUGGGGGAAACCCUGAUGCAGCGACGCCGCGUGAGUGAAGAAGUAUUUCUGUAUGGAAAGCUCUAUCAGCAGGGGAGAAAAUGACGGUACCUGAUUAAGAAGCCCCGUCUAACUACGUUCCAGCAGCCGCGGUAAUACGUAGGGGGCAAGCGUUAUCCGGAGUUACUGGGUGUAAAGGGAGCGUAGACGGCAGCACAAGUCUGGAGUGAAAUGCCGGGGCUUAACCCCGGAACUGCCUUGGAAACUGUGCAGCUAGAGUGCAGGAGGGGUAAGUGGAAUGCAUAGUGUAGCGGUGAAAUGCGUAGAGAUUAGGAGGAACACCAAUGGCGAAGGCAGCUUAC